rnacentral:rRNA from 1 species
GCUAAAUGUAUUAUGUAAUAAUACGGAUUCGAUUUAUUCGUAUAAAGUUCUAGAUAGAAUUAUGAUAAUGACAUUGUCUAUCUAUAAGUCUUGACCAAAUUACGUGCCAGCAGUCGCGGUAAGACGUAAAAGACUAGUGUUAUUCAUCUUUAAUAGGUUUAAAGCGUACCUAGACGGUAAAUAAAGCCUUAACUGGGACUAAUUUAACUAGAGUUAAAUGUAAGGGUGCAUAAACGUACUGUUGAGUGUAGAGAUGAAAUUYUAUUAUACCAGAUAAUUGGCACGGGUUUAGGCGAAAGCAUCGCCUUAUGUAAUAACUGACGUUGUGGGACGAAGGCUUUGUAUCGCGAACAGGAUUAGAUACCCUAGUAGUCUAAGCAGAAAAUGAUGAGUGUCAUAGGUUAAAUAUUAUUUUUUCUAUAAAUGAAAGUGUAAGCAUUCCACCUCAAGAGUAAUUUGGCAACAUUGGAAUUGAAAUCAUUAGACCGUUUUUGAAACCAGUAGUGAAGUAUGUUGUUUAAUUAGCCAGCCCUCUAAGAACCUUACCACAACUUGAAUAUUUUACAAGCGUUGCACGGCUGUCUUUAGCUAAUGUCGUGAGAUUGUGGUUAGUUCCAUUAAAUUAGCGUAAACCCUUACUUUAUUUUAUUUUUAUAUAAAGUAGUUCGCCGUUAGAU